rnacentral:rRNA from 1 species
GUAUAAGAGACAGCAGCCGCCGCGGGAAUACGGAGGGUGCAAGCGUUAUCCGGAUUUAUUGGGUUUAAAGGGUCCGUAGGCGGAUCUGUAAGUCAGUGGUGAAAUCUCACAGCUUAACUGUGAAACUGCCAUUGAUACUGCAGGUCUUGAGUAAAUUUGAAGUGGCUGGAAUAAGUAGUGUAGCGGUGAAAUGCAUAGAUAUUACUUAGAACACCAAUUGCGAAGGCAGGUCACUAAGAUUUAACUGACGCUGAUGGACGAAAGCGUGGGGAGCGAACAGGAUUAGAUACCCCCGUAGUCCCUGUCUCUUAUAC